CCUACGGGAGGCAGCAGUGGGGAAUAUUGCACAAUGGGGGAAACUCUGAUGCAGCGACGCCGCGUGAAGGAAGAAGUAUUUCGGUAUGUAAACUUCUAUCAGCAGGGAAGAAAAUGACGGUACCUGACUAAGAAGCCCCGGCUAACAAGGGGCAAGCGGCCGCGGAAAUACGUAGGGGGCAAGCGUUAUCCGGAUUUACUGGGUGUAAAGGGAGUGUAGGCGGAACAUAAAGUCAGCGGGAAAUUCGAGGGGUUAAACCCCUUUAAGCCGUUGAAACUGGUGAUCUUGAGUGUGCGAGAAGUAGGCGGAAUGCGUGGUGUAGCGGUGAAAUGCAUAGAUAUCACGCAGAACUCCGAUUGCGAAGGCAGCAUACCGGCGCCCAACUGACGCUGAGGCACGAAAGCGUGGGGAUCGAACAGGAUUAGAUACCCUUGUAGUC
rnacentral:rRNA from 1 species